rnacentral:rRNA from 1 species
UACGUAGGGUGCGAGCGUUGUCCGGAAUUAUUGGGCGUAAAGGGCUCGUAGGCGGUUUGUCGCGUCGGGAGUGAAAACACCGGGCUUAACUCGGUGCUGGCUUUCGAUACGGGCAGACUAGAGGUAUGCAGGGGGAGAACGGAAUUCCUGGUGUAGCGGUGAAAUGCGCAGAUAUCAGGAGGAACACCGGUGGCGAAGGCGGAUCUCUGGGCCAUUACUGACGCUGAGGAGCGAAAGCGUGGGGAGCGAACAGG